rnacentral:rRNA from 1 species
GACGAACCGUGCGAACGUUGUUCGGAAUCACUGGGCUUAAAGGGCGCGUAGGCGGGCAAGCAAGUCCGGGGUGAAAUCUUUCGGCUCAACCGGAAAAGUGCCUUGGAUACUGCUUGUCUGGAGGGAGGUAGGGGCCCGUGGAACUUCCGGUGGAGCGGUGAAAUGCGUUGAUAUCGGAAGGAACGCCGGUGGCGAAAGCGACGGGCUGGAUCUCUACUGACGCGUGAGGCGCGGAAAGCCAGGGGAGCAAACGGGG